rnacentral:lncRNA from 1 species
ACCAGAUGGUGAGCCCAGAGGAAGACCCCGUGGCUCUGGGCCAGUGUGCGUCAGCCAGGUCCCCAGCCCCCAGUGUGCUGAAGCUCAGGCCCUUCCCAACGCCCUGGUCUCCUGCACUGAGUGAGCUCUUCCGCCCAUUUGGGCCCUCUGACAUUGACCGGCAUAGAUGGUGAGCUCGGAGGAAGACUUGCAUUGGGCCCAAUGGAGCUGGGCCAGUUUCUGUCAGCCAGGUCCCCAGCUCCUGAUGCACUGAAGCUCAGGCCCUUCCUGGAGCCCUGGUCUCCUGCCCUGAGCUGUGAUGGUGAGCCUGGAGGAAGACUUGCACUGGGCCUUCUGUGCGCCGGCCAGAGGCCAUCAACCAGGUGCCCAGGUCCUUUUGUACUGAAGCUUGGGCCCUUCCUGGCACCCUGGUCUCCUUCAUGGAGCUGAUGGUGAGCCUGAAGGAAGACUUGCAUCAGGACCAAUGGACCCUGGCAAGUGUCCGUCAGCCAGGUGCUCAGCCCCUGGUGCACUGAAGCUCAGGCCCUUCCUGGCCCCUUGAUCUCCUGCACUGAGCUGUGUGAGCUCUUCUGCCAAGGGGGGGCCUCCUGGCAUUGACCAACAUAGAUGGUGAGCCUGGAGGAAGAUUUGCAUUGGGCCCAAUGGCCCUGGGCCAGUGUCUGUCAGCCAGUUUCCCAGCCCCUGGUGCACUGAAGCUCAGGCCUUUCCUGGCAUCCUGGCCUCCUGCACUGAGCUGUGUGAGUGCUUCUGCCCAGGCAGGCCACUUGGCAUUGACCGGUAUAGAUGGUGACCCUGAAGAAAGACUUCAGUUGGGCCUGAAGGCCCCGGGCCAGUGUCCAUCAUCCAGGUGCUCAGCUCCCAGUGCACUGAAGCUCAGACCCUUCCUGGUUCCCUGGUCUCUUGCACUGAGCUCUGAUGGUGAGACUUGAGGAAGACUUCCACUGGGCCUGCUUUUCCUGAGCCAGUGCCCAUCACCCAGGUGCUCAGUCCCUGGUGCACUGAAGCUCCAGCCCUUCCUGGCGCCCUGGUCUCCUGAACUGAGCUGUGUGAGCUCUUCUGCCAAGCGGUUCCCCUGGCAUUGACCAACAUAGAUGGUGAGCCUGGAGGAAGACUUGCGUUGGGCCCAAAGGCCCUAGACCAGUGUCUGUCAGCCAGGUUCCCAACCCCCGAUGCGCUGAAGCUCAAGCCUUUCCUGGCACCCUGGUCUCCUGCACUGAGCUGUGUGAGCUCUUCUGCCCAGGCGGGCCCCCUGGAAUUGAUGGGUAUAGAUGGUGACCCCGGAGGAAAAUUUGUGUUGGGCCCACUAUCCCUGGGCCAAUGUCAGUCAGCUAGGCACCCAGCCCCCAGUGCGCUGAAGCUCAGGACCUUCCUAGUGCCCUCGGCUCCUGCACUGAGCUCUGAUGGUAAGCCUGGAGGAAGACUUGUGUUGGGCCCACAGGCCCCAGGCCAAUGUCUGUCAGCCAGGUGCUCAGCCUCUGGUGCGCUGAAACUCUGACCCUUCCUGGCACACUGGUCUCCUGCACUGAGCUGGGAUUUUCCACCUAGGAGGUCCACCUGGCAUUGACUGACAUAGAUGGUGAGACUUCUGUCGGCCUCGCUUUUCCUGGGCCAGUGUCCAUCAGCCAGGUGCUCAGCCCCAGUGCACUGAAGCUCCAGCCCUUCCUGGCGCCCUGGACUGAGCUGUGUGAGCUCUUCUGCCAAGGGGGUCCUCCUGGCAUUGACCAACAUAGGUGGUGAGCCUGGAGGAAGACUUGCAUUGGGCCCAAUGGCCCUGGACCAGUGUCUGUCAGCCAGGUUCCCAGCCCCCGAUGCGCUGAAGCUCAAGCCUUUCCUGGCACCCUGGUCUCCUGCACUGAGCUGUGUGAGCUCUUCGGCCCAAGUGGUCCCCCCGGCCUUAAGCGGCAUAGAUGGUGAGCCUGGAGGAAGACUCGUGUUGGGCCCACAGGCCCCAGGCCAGUGUACGUCAGCCAGGUGCUCAGCCCAUGGUGUGCUGAAGCUCUGACCCUUCCUGACUCCGUGGUCUCCUGCACUGAGCUGUGAUGACCAUAUCCAGUGAGCUCUUCCAAACAGGUGGGCUCCCUAGCAUUGACCGACAGAGUGAGCUCUGCCACCCAGGACAUCCCCCUGGCAUUGACUGGCAUAGAUGCUGACCCUGGAGGAAGACUUGUGUCGGGCCCCCAGGCCCCAGGCCAGUGUCCAUCAGCCAGGUGCUCAGCUCCCAGUGCGCUGAAGCUCAGACCCUUCCUGGCACCCUGGUGUCCAGCACUGAGCUGUGUGAGCUUUUCCACCCAGGUGGGCCCCCUGGCAUUGACCGACAUAGAUGAUGAGACUGGAGGAAGACUUCCAUUGGGCCCACUUUUCCUGGGCCAGUGUCCAUCAGCCAGGUGCUCAGCCCCUGGUGUACUGAAGCUCCAGCCUUUCCUGGUGCCCCAGUCUUCUGCACUAAGCUGUGUGAGCUCUUCCACCCAGGAGGGCCCCUUGGCAUUGACUGGCAUAGAUGGUGAGACGGGAGGAAGACUUGUGUUGGGCCUGCUGUUCCUGGGCCAGUGGCCAUCAGCCUGUUGCCCAGCCCCUGAGGCGCUGAAGCUCAGGCCCUUCCUCACACCCUGGUCUCCUGCACUAGCUGUGUGAGCUCUUCUGCCCAGGUGGGGCCCAUGGCCUUACACGACAUAGGAGCACGCAUUUCUUGAAGUCCUGCAAAGGUGAUGGUGGUCCAGACAGGAGAGGGUUCCUUCAGCCCAACAUAGCGCAGCUCCCAGCUGAAACUCGGAAGGCUGGUCAGGCCUCGAGGACUGCCCAGGCCACAUGAGGGUUUGGUGGCCGGGAGGGCCAAUGAUGCUCUGCGUCUGUGUUGGAUCAGUGUUCUUCAUGGAUUCCAUCACAUGGUGAGCCUUGAGGAAGACUUGUAUUGGGCCCCCACAGGCCCCAGGCCAGUGUCCGUCAGCCUGGUGCUCACCCCCAGUGUGCUGAAGCUCAGACCCUCCGUGGCACCCUGGUCUCCUGCACUGAGCUGUGUGAACUUUUCCUCCCAGAUGGGCCCCCUGGCAUUGACUGGCAUAGAUGGUGAGACCGGAGGAAGACUUGCAUUGGGCCUGUUGUUCCUGGGCCAGUGGCCAUCAGCCUGUUGCCCAGCCCCUGAUGCGCUGAAGCUCGGGCCCUUCCUCGCGCCCUGGUCUCCUGCACUGAGCUGUGUGAGCUCUUCUGCCCAGGUGAGGCCCAUGGCCUUAAGCGGCAUAGAUGGUGAGCCUGGAGGAAGACUUGUAUUGGGACCCUACAGGCCCCAGGCCAGUGUCUGUCAGCCUGGUGCUCAUCCCCCAGUGCGCUGAAGCUCAGACCCUCCCUGGCACCCUGGUCUCCUGCACUGAGCUGUGAUGGUGAGUCUGGAGGAAGACUUGUGUUGGACCCCCACAGGCCCCAGGCCAGUGUCCAUCAGCCUGGUGCUAAUCCCCCAGUGCUCUGGAGUUUGGACCCUCCCUGGCACCCUGGUCUCCUGCACUGAGCUGUGUGAGCUCUUCCACCCGGGCGGGCCCCCGGCAUUGACUGGCAUAGGUGGUGAGCCCGGAGGAGGACUUGCGUUCGGCCCGCUGGUCCCAGUGUGUCCGGAAUUGGUGGGUUCUUGGUCUCACUGACUUCAAGAAUGAAGCUGCGGACCCUCGCUAUGAUGAUAUGGAAGAAAAGCACUCUUUGGCCUGUUGUGACUGGGACAGUUGACAGCACCCAGGUGUCCUUUAAUGAAAAUGCUCUUGACACCAAUGCAUCCUAGCAUCACAGCUUCAGGAAGCCUUCUCAAGUGUGCAUGGGGAGUACUAUGUCUUUCAUCAAUAAUGAAAUCUUCUGAUUUGUAAGACAUGCUGCCAAGAGAUGUGCCAUUCUAUUAUAAAAGAUCAGUAGCUUCCUUUACCGACGUGUAUAUUCUAUCUAGAACAUUGAGCUAUGGAAGACUCCCACCUAAGGGAAUUAGUUUUACACCUUCAGAUAAAGACUGCUGAGAAGAGCACCCUCUGGUGUUGUCACAGAGGCAAGUGCUACCGCACAGGCAUGCUGCAGUGAAUUUAACUGAUCCUCUGUCCCUGCAACCGUUGUUUAAGGAUGCUAUUCUGAAAAGACUGUGGAGGAAGAAAACCCUUUACCCUGUUGUUCAGGGAGAAACUGACACCACUCAACUGCCUGGCACUGAAAAUGUGGCAUCCAGUCCACUUUACCAUCAGUGUUUAAGGAAACCAUCUCUGAUAAGGAUGACUGAGGAAGAGUACUCUUUGGCUUGUUGACACCAGCACAGCUGACACACCCAGAUAUCUGUUUGGUCUCCUGUGAACUUUCAACCAGGAUUUAAGGAUGCCACUCUGGUUAAAAGCUGAAACAACUUCAAGGAAACUUCAGGGAAAAGAGAAGGCCUGGAAUCUGAUCCUCCACUUCAGAGAACAGGGGUGGUGGAGUCUAUGGCCCUUCUCCUUGAAUCUGAGUGAAAUUAGUGAGUCUUUCAAUCCAAAGACUACAGUCAUACCUCAACUAUCUACAGAGGACUGGUUCCAGGACUCCCAUGGAUCCCAAAAUCCAAGGAUGCUUCGAAUCCCUUAUAUAAAAUGGCAUGGUAUUUGCAUAUAACCUACAUGCAUCUUCAAAUAUGUUAAACCAUCUCUAGAUUACUUAUAAUACCAAAUACAAUGUAAUGCUAUGUAAACAGUUGUUACAAUGUAUUGUCAAAGACAAGCUCUCCUUGCCAAUCCCUGACCAAAUGAGAGAUUCAUGAGCAAAAUAAAUAGUUGCUGAUAUUUAAGGCACUAAGUUUGGGGCAAUGUAUUACACAGCAAUAAAUAACUGGAACAGCAUAGUAAAUUCUAGUUAAAAAUACUAAACUACUAAGUUUUAGUUAACAUACAUGCUCAAGUUAAGGGUGUGGUAUACUAACAACUGCAACUUACUUUGAAAAGCAUAAAAAAAGACACUAGAAGAAGACAGGAUGGAUAGAUGGACAAGAUAGAAGACAAUAACAAAUAGAACAAAAUGUUGUGAAAUUAUAUUCUACAAUUAUUUUAAAGUCUGUGUGGUUUGAAAAAUUGUACGAUAAAAUGAAGAGUGAAAUAAAGACAUUUCCAUACAAACAAAAGCUGAAAGAUUUUGUAGCCAGUAGACCUAUACUUUAGAAAUGUUUAAGAAAUUUUUUCAAGUAAAAGGAAAAUAACACCAGCAACAAACUUGGAUCUACAAAAAGGAAUCUCCACAAAGAAAAAUAAAUAAAAAUGGUAAAUAUGAAGGUAAAUAUAAAGGAAUGUUAUUCUUAGUUUUUAAGUUUCUUCGUAAGACAACUGGCCUUUGAAAGAAAUAGUUUCAAACGCUGCUGUGGAAUCUAUAACACAUAUAGAAGUAAAAUGUUAAGAUCAUAAUACCAAAAAGAAUGAGGGAGAGUAAAUGGAUGUAUACUAUUCCAAAAUUCUUACAUUAUACAUUAAGAGGAAUAAUAUUUUUGAAGGUAGAUUGAGGUAAGUUAAAGGUGCAUAUUGUAAAUCCUAGAAGUAUCACUGGGGGGAAAAAAAACAGAGGGACAAGCUAAUAAUGGAGACAAUACAAAAUUCCAAAAAUGCUCCAUUAACCGAAAAGAAGGCAGAAAAGGAAGAAAAGAUUAGACAAAUAGAAAACAAAUAGUGUCUUAAACACAAUUAUAUUGCCAACUGCAAUAAAUGUAAAUGGACUUAAUCAAAAAGCAACGAUCGUAAAAAGUCAAUCUGAAAGCAAGAUGCAACUAUAUGCUAUCUAAAAGAAAGACAUUAAAUGACCAAUAAGCUGAAAAUAAAAACACAGCAAAAUGAUAUAAUGUGCAAAAAUUAAUCAUAAGAAAGGAAUGGAUACACUAAUAUCAAAGUAGACUUUAGAUAAGGAACAUUACCAGCGAUAAACAGAGACAUUUCAUAAUGAUAAAGACAUCAAUUAAUCAAGGAGAUCUAACAGUCCUAAAUGUGAACACACCUAAGGACACAA